CAAGUCUCCUUUGAGUGGAGCUCUGCCCUCCUGGCCCCAUCAGAGGAGGAUCCUGACCUCUGGCCACUGACUGUGUACAUGCUGCAGAAACAGCACAGAGUCUGAGAGCAUGUCUGGAGGUGCUGACUUUGGGGUAAAAAGUCUCAUUCAGACAGCUCCUUUGGCAGUAUGCAUGAAUAAGUGCAUCUUCACAACCAGAAGCCAGCAGCCUACCUGCAAUUUCUUGUGAUGACUGUAAACUCCCAAGUCCUUCCAGAUUCUCAGGGAUGGAACCACCUUCUUCAAGCACC